rnacentral:rRNA from 1 species
GAUCCUGGCUUAGGAUGAACGCUAGCGACAGGCUUAACACAUGCAAGUCGAGGGGCAGCACAGGAGUAGCAAUACUUUGGUGGCGACCGGCGCACGGGUGAGUAACGCGUAUGCAACCUACCUAUCAGAGGGGAAUAACCCGGCGAAAGUCGGACUAAUACCGCAUAAAACAGGGGCACCGCAUGGUGAUAUUUGUUAAAGAAAUUCGCUGAUAGAUGGGCAUGCGUUCCAUUAGGUAGUUGGUGAGGUAACGGCUCACCAAGCCGACGAUGGAUAGGGGAACUGAGAGGUUGGUCCCCCACACUGGUACUGAGACACGGACCAGACUCCUACGGGAGGCAGCAGUGAGGAAUAUUGGUCAAUGGGCGGGAGCCUGAACCAGCCAAGUCGCCGUGAAGGAAGAAGGAUCUAUGGUUCGUAAACUUCUUUUGCAGGGGAAUAAAGUGCAGGACGUGUCCUGUUUUGUAUGUACCCUGAGAAUAAGGAUCGGCUAACUCCGUGCCAGCCGCGGC